CAUUAGCUGGUAUUUCAAUUGAACUCUCUCUUUCUGAUGUAUCAGUGGAGAAAUUCCUAAUAUCGAGUAAAUGC
rnacentral:snoRNA from 1 species